CUAUUUUAUCCUUUCUAUGUAUUUUUAAGAUCCUUGAAACCGAAUUCUUUAAAAAACAUUAAAUGCAAAAGAAAUAGCAGUCCUUGAUUUGGUGGGGGUUCGUGGAAGAUAUAAAAUGGGUAUUCAACAUUGCACACGUACGUCCAUUACCACACAAACUACCAGUCGGUUCACCAUUUAUAUAUAUAUACCUUCAUACUUGCCCUUUCUUUCACUUCUCAUCAUCUACCAAAUAUAUGCUUCCAUCAAAGAUACCAUGGAAACCUAGCCAAGUUCUUCUGAUGCAGUGUGGUGAUGCAAGGAAGUGUGAGUUAUAUGAAUAAGGGCAUAAAUAACCUAGAUAUUGACGCGCCUCAAUUUAAAGAUAUGGUUAAUAUGAAGUCGUUAACCAUUUAAUUUGAUUGAGCCGCGUCAAUAUCUCGCUCAUUUUGAUUCCACUUCCUUUCCAUCUCCACCUCAAUCUCUUCUCUUCUCUUCUGGUAUGGACAUAGAACAAUAAAUUGUGUGUUUAUUGAGGUGGUGUGGGUGUGUACUAGUACAGAAAGAUACUCAAGAUGUUUAAACAUUACAAGAAUAUAAUGGAGAAUAAUAAUGCUAAGGAACGGUUACAGAAAGUGGGCAUCGCCAGAAAUUUAUUAAUGGAAGGAAUCCUAUUGAGCUAUAUUUUCAGAAACCUAUAAACUCGAGUGGGGACUCUAGAGUUUGCAUUCAAUUCUAUAAAAUGUGAUAUUUUUUUAGGUACAAAAUUUGAUUCCUUGUUGUAUUGUACUGUGUAAAAUAUAUUUUGAAUUAAUGUGUUUUUCAUCUGUGAUGCUAAUGUAAUUAUUUAUGUAUUUAAAUUUAAAUUGAAUAAUAUAUUUUUUUAUAAAA